GUAUAAAUGCGUGUGCAGGCUGCCUCAUAGACGAGUACUACCAGCACUUUGAAGAGAUGUAUUUGAAACUUGUAUUGGCUUCUGCUGCUCUCAUGUGUGUAGGUGUUGCCUCAGGUUAUGCGGUAACCGGUUGCUAUACUUGCUCAGCUAGCGACUCGGACCCUCAAGCAUUUAACAACUGUCGUAACUUCGUUAAUAUUACUACAACUGAGGAUUGUAUAAGAAAAAACCAUUUUUGCCUAUUUUAUUAUACAGACGCACCAGCCGGCAAGGUUGAUGUGAGCAGAGGUUGUAAUGAAGAUAGUUGUCGGAGCCUUGCCGAGCAAUACCCAGGAUAUAUGAAACACUGUGCGGGUUGCAGGGGCAGAAAUUGCAAUACUUCAACAUAGAUCAAUAACACCAAGCGAACAUUUUUCAGCAUACUAUACUAUCACAUUCGCAUUUAUUGUUCUUUAUUCUUUGUCAUUAUCCUCUAAACGACAAAAUGCAAUAAUUAUGUUGUAUUUACAAUUGGAAGCCAUUUUUGACACACCUUAUUCCUUCGUCAUCCCCGACUCAACGCCUGACUUUCGUUACCAAUCUUCUUUUUUUCUUUGCGCGUCGCUAUUUAUAUUAAGCCAAUCCGGAACCAACAAAAUUUCUCCUUCUCCUUUAAACGAAUAGUAGACCAACAUCUUUUGUUCCAGAUAUUUACGGACAACAGGUACAGCUUACGAGGCUGUAACUGUGAGACUUUUUAUGGUAGUUUGGGAUACUAUAGAAAUUACCUUUGCAAUAGGUACACGGAAAAUGAAUAAAAUUGUACAAAAUUAGAUAAAGUGGUCACGAUAAUAGCAAUUGAGGUAAAUGAGGGUCGUUAGGUAUAUAAAAUAUGAAGGUUUUCCCAGUAGUGUAAAUUGACUGCGACCAUCUACCGUGUGACUAGCAAGAUGAAGGUCGCAAUCUCGUUUCUAUUUAUUCUAAUCGGCGUGCUCCACGACGUCGAGGGCGGCGAAGCUAAGAAAUCAGGCAUCAACAUCCAAGAUAACCGUCCCAUCGCUGCAGGUGCUGUGAAGAAUCUUCCGGAAGUUUUCUGCCUGUUGUUCAUUUACGUAUGUUACGCAAGUGUGAUCAGAAUGCAACUUGUAUAGAGGUCCAUUAUGACAAAAGGUCUUUCCAAAAUUGUAUGGCGAGGUAGUGCAUUUAUAUUAAUAAAAUAAUUAAUGUUUUCAUUUA